rnacentral:rRNA from 1 species
UACGUAGGGUGCGAGCGUUGUCCGGAAUCAUUGGGCGUAAAGCGCGUGUAGGCGGCUUGGUAAGUCCGGCGUGAAAUCUUGGGGCUCAACCCCAAGCCUGCGCUGGAUACUGCCUCGCUCGAGUCCGGGAGAGGAGAGUGGAAUUCCCAGUGUAGCGGUGAAAUGCGCAGAUAUUGGGAAGAACACCGGUGGCGAAGGCGGCUCUCUGGAACGGUACUGACGCUGAGACGCGAAAGCGUGGGGAGCGAACAGG